rnacentral:lncRNA from 1 species
ACAUCUCUUCUUCUUCAUGUUUUACCAACUUUGCAUUAGUUUCUUGAUUCUUCAUCUUUUCUAGACAAUCACUUGAAUAUGGCCAUGCUUAUGACAAUUGUAACACUGAAUAUGACUCUUGUCUGGCGUUUGACCACCACCUCUUCCUCUACUUACACCACCACCUCUUUGGUUGCCUUGGUUUCAUGGUUUUCUCUAAUUCGACCAGUUUCCUUCUUGCUGAUUUUGAUUAGUCGAAUUGUUGUAGCCUCCUCUGCC